GACGAACCGAGCGAACGUUGUUCGGAUUCACUGGGCUUAAAGGGCGCGUAGGCGGGUGCUCAAGUCCGGGGUGAAAUCCUCCAGCUCAACUGGAGAACUGCCUCGGAUACUGGGUGCCUCGAGGGUGGUAGGGGUAUGCGGAACUAUCGGUGGAGCGGUGAAAUGCGUUGAUAUCGAUAGGAACUCCGGUGGCGAAGGCGGCAUACUGGACCACAUCUGACGCUGAGGCGCGAAAGCCAGGGGAGCAAACGGG
rnacentral:rRNA from 1 species